rnacentral:misc_RNA from 1 species
GAUGAAGAACGUAGCGAAAUGCGAUAAGUAAUGUGAAUUGCAGAAUUCAGUGAAUCAUCGAAUCUUUGAACGCACAUUGCGCCCGCCAGUAUUCUGGCGGGCAUGCCUGUUCGAGCGUCAUUUCAACCAUCAAGCCCCCGGCUUGUGUUGGGGACCUGCGGCUGCCACAGGCCCUGAAAACCAGUGGCGGGCUCGCUGUCACACCGAGCGUAGUAGAUUUUCAUCUCGCUCAGGGCGUGCUGCGGGUUCCGGCCGUAAAAAGCCUUAUUUACCCAAGGUUGACCUCGGAUCAGGUAGGAAGACCCGCUGAACUUAAGCAUAUCAAUAAGCGGAGGA